rnacentral:lncRNA from 1 species
ACAAACUAAAUUAAAUGAAAAAGAUUAAUUAAAAAGAAAAAAAAACAAAAGACAUCAGCCUUUUCACUAUGGACUGCACUGUGCAGUCCACAAUCAAAGGCAUAAAACGGCAAAAAAACAAAAAGAAAAAAAAAACUAACUGGGUUAAAAGAAAAAAAACCUAUAGGAAGAAAAAAACUAAUGAAGAAAAAGAAAAAAA